rnacentral:rRNA from 1 species
AGUGAACGCUGGCGGUAGGCCUAACACAUGCGAGUCGAACGGCAGCACAGUAAGGGCUUGCUCUUACGGGUGGCGAGUGGCGGACGGGUGAGGAAUACAUCGGAAUCUACUUUUUCGUGGGGGAUAACGUAGGGAAACUUACGCUAAUACCGCAUACGACCUACGGGUGAAAGCAGGGGAUCUUCGGACCUUGCGCGAUUGAAUGAGCCGAUGUCGGAUUAGCUAGUUGGCGGGGUAGAGGCCCACCAAGGCGACGAUCCGUAGCUGGUCUGAGAGGAUGAUCAGCCACACUGGAACUGAGACACGGUCCAGACUCCUACGGGAGGCAGCAGUGGGGAAUAUUGGACAAUGGGCGCAAGCCUGAUCCAGCCAUACCGCGUGGGUGAAGAAGGCCUUCGGGUCGUAAAGCCCUUUUGUUGGGAAAGAAAAGCAGCAGGUUAAUACCCCGCUGUUCUGACGGUACCCAAAGAAUAAGCACCGGCUAACUUCGUG